GUGAACCUGCGGAAGGAUCAUUAUUGAAAUAAACCUGAUGAGUUGCUGCUGGUUCUCUAGGGAGCAUGUGCACACUUGUCAUCUUUAUAUCUCCACCUGUGCACCUUUUGUAGACCUGGAUAUCUCUCUGAAUGCUAGUCACUCAGGUUUGAGGAUUGACUUUAUGUCUCUCCUUACAUUUCCAGGCCUAUGUUUCUUUAUAUACCCCAAUGUAUGUCAUAGAAUGUAACCAAUGGGCCUUUGUGCCUAUAAACCUAUACAACUUUCAGCAACGGAUCUCUUGGCUCUCGCAUCGAUGAAGAACGCAGCGAAAUGCGAUAAGUAAUGUGAAUUGCAGAAUUCAGUGAAUCAUCGAAUCUUUGAACGCACCUUGCGCUCCUUGGUAUUCCGAGGAGCAUGCCUGUUUGAGUGUCAUUAAUAUAUCAACCUCUUCAACUUUUGUUUGUCGAGUGUUGGAUUUGGGGGUCCUUUUUGCUGGUCUUCUAAAGGUCAGCUCCCCUGAAAUGCAUUAGCAGAACAAUUUGUGGAUCGUUCAUUGGUGUGAUAACUAUCUACGCUAUUGACGUGAAACAGUUCAGCUUCUAACAGUCCAUUGACUUGGACAAAUUUUCAUUAAUGUGACCUCAAAUCAGGUAGGACUACCCGCUGAACUUAAGCAUAUCAAUAAGCGGAGGAAAAGAAACUAACAAGGAUUCCCCUAGUAACUGCGAGUGAAGCGGGAAAAGCUCAAAUUUAAAAUCUGUCAGUCUUUGGCUGUCCGAGUUGUA
rnacentral:rRNA from 1 species